UACGUAGGGGGCAAGCGUUGUCCGGAUUUACUGGGCGUAAAGAGCGUGUAGGCGGCCAAGCAGGUCCGUUGUGAAAACUGGAGGCUUAACCUCCAGACGUCGACGGAAACCGCGCGGCUAGAGUCCGGAAGAGGAGAGUGGAAUCCGUGGUGUAGCGGUGAAAUGCGCAGAUAUCAGGAGGAACACCGGUGGCGAAGGCGGGUCUCGUGGGC
rnacentral:rRNA from 1 species